GUAAUUGCUAAGUUUGUUCUUAGGCCUAGCAGCCACCCCUAAGGGAUCAUUGCACCUGCAAAUCAUUCAGAAAAAAUUCACCCAGGAAUGAAUGGAAUGACUAAAGACACCAGUCACAAGGCUGCAGGAAUCACACAGGAAAGCAGCUACUGAGCAGAAGAAAGGAAGCAGACACAGGAAAACUACCCUGGAGUCCAUAGUCACAAGUCAUUCAAAGACAGGGUCUCAGGAAUCCCAAGACUGGCCUGAAUUCGCUACAGAUCUGAAGAUAACCUUGAACUUCUGUCCUUCCUGCUUUCAGCUCCUAAGUGCUAGAAUUACAGACGCGUACCACCAUGCCUGGUUUACA